ensembl:lncRNA
GGAUGCUCUCUAGGUACCCGGAUGCUCUCUAGGUACCCGGAUGUUCUCGAGGCCCUGGAUGGUCUCAGCGCCCAGCGGCAGGCGUGGACCUGGGCCCCCGUAACUCACGGGUGCGGCCGUGAGCAGAGGAGGAGCCCGGGACUCCUCCGCGUGGAGACUCGAGGCUGAGGGCGCCGGAAGCCCGCGCAUCGGGGACCAGGAGGCCCCGACUGUCUCCAUCCUCCGUGCUGGGAGCGGCAAGCGGCCUGCUGUGUGGGGAGCCUGCUUCUCAUGCCAUCCGCAUGGAUGGGGAGCCCACUCGGGGCGGUUCUGUCCGCCGAGCCUCUGGACGCUGGCCCCGGGAAGGAAUGACGUCCAUCACGGUUGCUGUCAUCUCGUCCCUAGAAGCGUCCAGCUGCUCUUGGAGACAGAAAUGGCAACCCACCCCAGUAUUCCUGCCUGGAGCAUCCUGUGGACAGAGGGACCUGGCCGGCUGCAGCCCAUGGGGUCACAGAAGAGCCAGACACAACUGAGCAACCGAGCAAGAGCAAAGUGGCCCUGGCACUGUUUAUUGAGUGGACUGUCCUUCUUCCAUUGAAUUGCUUUUCUCC